GACGAACGCUGGCGGCGUGCCUAAUACAUGCAAGUCGAACGCAGUGGGGACGGGUGAUUAACCCGUUGGUAACCUCCCAUCAGAGGGGAUAACACUUGGAAACAGGUGCUAAACCGAUACUGAUGGAUGGACCCGCGGUGCAGUAGCUAGUUGGUGGGGUAACGGCUCACCAAGGCCACGAUGCAUAGCCGACCUGAGAGGGGGUUGGGGCACACUGGGACUGAGACACGGCCCAGACUCCUACGGGAGGCAGAAGUAGGGAAUCUUCGGAAAUGGACGAAAGUCUGACCGAUGAACGCAGCGUGAGUGAAGAAGGUUUUCGGAUCGUAAAACUCUGUUGUUAGAGAAGCGGUAUCUAACCAGAAAGCCACGGCUAACUACGUGCCAGCCGCCGCGGUAAUUC
rnacentral:rRNA from 1 species